AAAUAUCAAAACAGGUGGUUGCUCAGUCUAGUGGGGUUUUGCUGGAAACACGUUGGAUAAUCCAAGGAAUGAGAGUUGUAAUGCCAUUGGGUUGAGAAGUAGAGUUGUACCAUCGGCAGUAGGUAAAUAGAGUGAGAAAAGAAAAGAGUCUGAAGUAGAGAAAAAGAGUGAAACUGAGGGAGAAGUAGAAAAUGAGUGGUUGAUUGUAAAUGAGGGAGAAG
rnacentral:lncRNA from 1 species